UACGUAGGGUGCAAGCGUUGUCCGGAAUUAUUGGGCGUAAAGAGCUUGUAGGCGGUUUGUCGCGUCUGCUGUGAAAUUUCGGGGCUCAACCCCGAACUUGCAGUGGGUACGGGCAGACUAGAGUGUGGUAGGGGAGACUGGAAUUCCUGGUGUAGCGGUGAAAUGCGCAGAUAUCAGGAGGAACACCGAUGGCGAAGGCGGUUCUCUGGGACGGUACUGACGCUGAGGAGCGAAAGCGUGGGGAGCGAACAGG
rnacentral:rRNA from 1 species